ACACAGAAGUUUUCUAUUUUUAAUUAAUUUGUAAAACACUCCAAAAAAUCUUUUCACAUUCUCAUUUUCCCACUUUUAACACUUGGGCUUAAAACAUACUGUAUCUUUUCCCUUUUAAAGUUUAUGGUGAUUCUGCAAUAGGCUUAGGCUAUUGGAAGACAAAAAUGACCACUUUUUCUCAUGUUCUUAUUCUAGUCCUCUACUGUUAAAGUUUUGUUUUCUCUCAGUUAUUUUUCUUUCCAUAGAAGCUACACCUAGUCUGACAUUCCAUUUAGCUGUGAUUCCUUCCUGGAGGGGGCAUCAGCUGAGAUAAUGUUGCCUGUUGCCAUAGCAAAUUGUUCUCCCUUUCCUGAAAUUACCUUUUUUCUCUCAUGAACAUAAAAAAUAAUUCUAUAUCACUUCAUCAAUUUCUUCUUAAUUCACAUUAAUGUUAGGCUUAUGCAAUUAUUAAUAAUUACAAUUAAUAAUUUAUUCUUAAUGAGAUUAUUAAUAAAAUUUAAAUUCAUUCUGUAAUUUAACUCUUUCAUUAAAUUACAGAAUGAAUCUAAUCAGUAGUUAGAUUUCAUGUAAUCUAACUACUGACAAGACAAAAGGAAUAUGUAGAACAAUAAAAUGGGAAUCAAAUCAGAUUAAUGAAUGAGCUAUGACAAAAUGGAACUCGAAUACUGAAAAAUUUAUCUCAAGCCCAACUAUCUAAUAAACAAGAAAAAGGAAAAAACAGUUGCACAACCAUAAAUGCAGCAUACAGUAUUGUAAAACAGAAUAACUGUUAUGUCCUGAGAGUUGUUUCACAAAAGUAGGAUUCCAAAAUCCAGGAUAAGAGACAAAGUCAGGCUGGACUUAGCGCCAGCAGUUCAUCCUGCCUUUAUCAAAUUCACAAAGAAAAACCAGGUUCAAGAGGUGUGACUAUUUCGAGCCAAACUCAAAUAAUUUAGGCGAAUGCACAACAGAUUUCUUCAACAGACUAUGAGAUUGAUCACAGACUCACUGAUUCUAGAUAAACUGCGUACACCAUACCGCACACCAAUCAAACAACACCUUUUGAUUUAGGAUUAUGAGGAACUGAAGCACAACAUACUAAAGAAAAACAAACUGCUGCUACAAUAGCAAACAAUCGGAGAUAAUGUGUAAUUAGCCUAAAAUAUACAUUUCUUAACCAUUCUUAACUGAAAACAACAUACCUGUCAUACUUGUCAUUUGCUCAAAUAAACAACUUUAACCUGGUCUGAAUAUUUCAGAAACUGCUGAUCUGGAUUUUCACGUUCAACCAUGUCUAGGGUUUACAGAGAAUGGUCUGAAAAAGAGAAAAUAUCCAGUGAGCGUCAGUUCUGUGGGCUCUGUGGGUUGAUGCCAGAAGUCAGAGGAGAAUGGCCAGACUGGUUUAAGUUGAUAGAAUGGGAACAGUAACUCAAAUAACCUCUCGGUAUGCAGAAGAGUAUCUCUGAACACACAACGUGUCAAACCUUGAGGCAGAUGGGCUACAGCAGCAUAAGACCACACUGUGUACCACUCCUGUCAGCUGAGAACAGGAAACUGAGGCUACAAUUUGCGAAGGCUCACCAAAACUGGACAAUAGAAGAUUGGAAAAACGUUGCCUGGUCUGAUGAGUCUUGAUUUCUGCUGCAACAUUCGGAUGGUAGGGUCAGAAUUUGGCGUCAACAACAUGAAAGCAUGGAUCCAUACUGCCUUGUGUCAAUGGUUCAGGCUGAUGGUGGUGGUGUGGGGGAUAUUUUCCUGGCAUACUUUGGACCCAUUAGUACCAAUUGAGCAUCAUGUCAAUGCCACAGCCUACCUGAGUAUUGUUGCUGACCAUGUCCAUUCCUUAUGACUACAAUGUACCAAUCUUCUGAUGGCUACUUCCAGCAGGAUAAUGCACCAUGUUAUAAAGUGCAAAUCAUCUCAGACUGGUUUCGUGAACACGACAAUGAGUUCACUGUGCUCGAAUGGAAUCCACAGUCACCAGGGGCCUCAUGUAUAAAGGGUGCGUGCGCACAAAAAUGUGCGGCGCUACAUUUUACACACAAGUUGGCAUGUCUAAAAAUUUUGCGUCAAAGUUUGCAUAAAUACAUAUGCACCUUUUUGCUGGCGUGAAAAUGUGCGGCAGCCACGCAAACUUUUUCUGUGGACAAUAUCAAACUACAAAGCGUCAAAACUCACCUAAAUACACUGAAGUCUGACUACAUUCAAUGUUAUUUAGACCAAGGAGCACCAAACCCGAUGUUUUUCAUGAUUUUAAUAUUUUAUUGUUUAAACGUAAACAAUGAAACUGAACC